CGAAGUACAUGGCUACGACUGAUACAACGUGAUGACGUCCCAUCGAACGCUGCAAUCGUCGUCUGUUUUCUACACUUUCGACCGGACGACUACGAACUCAACGUGUCACUUGUUGAAGGCUCCGGAGUUGGAAAAUUCAAACAUAGACUGAGACCCGAAGUGACGCCGUCGUUGAACCUACCUAAUGCUGCCGCCGCGCAAGAGAACGUGGCAGAACAAUGUGUACCAGAAGGUGACAGCCUAAACGGUGACAGUGCAUGUGCCAGCUUAGUCAGUCACGCUUCUUCCUUUGGAAAUGAAGAGAGCGGUUAUUCAUCUCACACCCAACCUGCUUCCCCUGUGCUUACAUCUCAGUCUCCCAGUCCCGACAUGACACCUACAACCGUCCUACAGUGCAUGAACUGUGGGUGCAGGCAGCCCAACAGCGUACCUUUGACUGAAGAAAAAGGGACCCAGUACAGUUUG